rnacentral:rRNA from 1 species
GAUGAUCACUGGCGGCAUGCCCUAAUACAUGCAAGUCGAACGGACCAUUUCGGUGGUAAGUGGCGAAACGGGUGAGUAACAACGUAGGUAACAUAUCCAUACGACGAGGAUAACGGCUGGAAACGGCUGCUAAGACUGGAUAGGAAUAUAGGAGGCAUCUUUAAUAUUUUAAAGGACCAUAGGGUACGCGUAUGGAGUGGCCUGCGGCUCAUUAGCUAGUUGGAGUGGUAAAGGCACCCCAAGGCAAUGAUGCGUAGCCGGACUGAGAGGUUGACCGGCCACAUUGGGACUGAGACACGGCCCAGACUCCUACGGGAGGCAGCAAUAGGGAAUUUUCGGCAAUGGAGGGAACUCUGACCGAGCAAUGCCGGGUGAAUGAAGAAGUACUUCGGUAUGUAAAGUUCAUUUAUUGGGGAAGAACGGCUAGUGGAAAAGCUAGAGUGACGGUACCCAUUGAAUAAGCCCCGGCUAACUAUGUGCCAGCAGCCGGGGUAAUACAUAGGGGGCAAGCGUUAUCCGGAAUUAUUGGGCAUAAAGGGUGCGUAGGCGGCAAGUUAAGUUUAAGGUAUAAGCUCAUGGCUCAACCAUGGGAGGGUUUUGAAACUGGCUAGUUAGAGUGCAGUAGAGGCAAGUGGAAUUCCAUGUGUAGCGGUAAAAUGCGAAAAUAUAUGGAGGAACACCAGAAGCGAAGCAGGCUUGUUGGGCUGUAACAGACGCUGAGGCACGAAAGCGUGGGGGGCAUA